rnacentral:misc_RNA from 1 species
GAAAUGCGAUAAGUAAUGUGAAUUGCAGAAUUCAGUGAAUCAUCGAAUCUUUGAACGCACCUUGCGCUCCUUGGUAUUCCGAGGAGCAUGCCUGUUUGAGUGUCAUUAAAUUCUCAACCCCUCCAGCUUUGUUGGCUGGCUUGGUGGCUUGGAUUGUGGGGGUCGUGUAUAUUGCAGGCCUUCUCUUGUUGAGAGGUCAGCUCCCCUGAAAUGCAUUAGCGGAACUGUUUGCGUCCGUCACAGGUGUGAUAGUUAUCUACGCCGAAGACGACGAACGCUCUCUAUCUGUUCAGCUUCUAAUCGUCCCACUGCGUGGACAACUUUUGAACGCUUGACCUCAAAUCAGGUAGGACUACCCGCUGAACUUAA